AAGAUCCCACAUCGAUUGAGGAGGAGAACGAAACAUUUUUUAUAAGGGUGUAGAAACUUCUCCCUAGAAGACGCGUUUAAAAACUUUUAGGGAAAGCCCAAAGAG